UACAGAGGUGGCAAGCGUUGUUCGGAAUUACUGGGCGUAAAGGGCGCGUAGGCGGCCUCCUAAGUCAGACGUGAAAUCCCCCGGCUUAACCUGGGAACUGCGUCUGAUACUGGAGGGCUUGAGUGCGGGAGAGGGAUGUGGAAUUCCAGGUGUAGCGGUGAAAUGCGUAGAUAUCUGGAGGAACACCGGUGGCGAAGGCGGCAUCCUGGACCGACACUGACGCUGAGGCGCGAAAGCUAGGGUAGCAAACGGG
rnacentral:rRNA from 1 species